UUCGCCCUUAGAGUUUGAUCCUGGCUCAGGAUGAACUCUGGCGGCGUGCUUAACACAUGCAAGUCGAGCGGGGAUUGUGGAAGUCUUCGGACAGAAGCAAUUCUAGCGGCGGACGGGUGAGUAACGCGUGAGCAAUCUGCCUCACACAGGGGGAUAACGCAUCGAAAGAUGUGCUAAUACCGCGUAAGACCACAGCACCGCAUGGUGCAGAGGGUCAAAGGAGCAAUCCGGUUUGAGAUGAGCUCGCGUCCGUUUAGUUAGUUGGUGAGAUAACAGCCCACCAAGGCGACGAUCGGUAGCCGACCUGAGAGGGUGAUCGGCCACAUUGCAACUGAGACACGGUCCACACUCCUACGGGAGGCAGCAGUGGGGAAUAUUGGGCAAUGGGCGAAAGCCUGACCCAGCAACGCCGCGUGAGGGAAGAAGGGUUUUGGCUCGUUAACCUCUGUCCUAUGGGACGAAGAAGUGACGGUACCAUAGGAGGAAGCCCCGGCUAACUACGUGCCAGCAGCCGCGGUAAUAUGUAGGGGGCGAGCGUUGUCUGGAAUGAUUGGGCGUAAAGGGCGCGUAGGCGGCCUGUUAAGUCUGGAGUGAAAGUCUUGCUUUCAAGGUGGGAAUUGCUUUGGAUACUGAUGGGCUCGAGUGCAGGAGAGGAAAGCGGAAUUACCGGUGUAGCGGUGAAAUGCGUAGAGAUCUGGUAGGAACACCAGUGGCGAAGGCGGCUUUCUGGACUGAAUCUGACGCUGAGGCGCGAAAGCGUGGGGAGCAAACACGAUUAGAUACCCUGGUAGUCCACGCGCUAAACGAUGA
rnacentral:rRNA from 1 species